rnacentral:rRNA from 1 species
GACGAACGCUGGCGGCGUGCCUAAUACAUGCAAGUAGAACGCUGAAGGAGGAGCUUGCUUCUCUGGAUGAGUUGCGAACGGGUGAGUAACGCGUAGGUAACCUGCCUGGUAGCGGGGGAUAACUAUUGGAAACGAUAGCUAAUACCGCAUAAUAGCAGUUGUUGCAUGACAACUGUUUGAAAGGUGCAAUUGCACCACUACCAGAUGGACCUGCGUUGUAUUAGCUAGUUGGUGGGGUAACGGCUCACCAAGGCGACGAUACAUAGCCGACCUGAGAGGGUGAUCGGCCACACUGGGACUGAGACACGGCCCAGACUCCUACGGGAGGCAGCAGUAGGGAAUCUUCGGCAAUGGACGGAAGUCUGACCGAGCAACGCCGCGUGAGUGAAGAGGGUUUUCGGAUCGUAAAGCUCUGUUGUAAGAGAAGAACGAGUGUGAGAGUGGAAAGUUCACACUGUGACGGUAUCUUACCAGAAAGGGACGGCUAACUACGUG